AGAAAAACACUAGUUAGCAAGAUAGCUUAGCCAAACCAAGGGAAUCAAGAUUAUUUCAAAUUAAACUUUCUACAAAGCAAAUGAUAUAGUUUAUGAUAAGAGAACUAAAAAGAAAUACAAGGUUUCAUUAUGUGCAUGUUCAAGGGAAACGGGCUAUACAGUGCAUGAUCAAUAAGACAGCAUCUAAUCCAGAAAGCUAAUACAAAAAAUUUUGUAUGUCUUUUUCAGUAUUUUCCACUUUGUAAGAGAUUAUCCCUUUGAAAAUUAUGACAUAGUCUCUUCUGAAGAAAAUUCUAAGAGGGAUCAUUAAAAUUCAUAACAAUAGACAGAAAUUCUCAAUACUUCAACAAUGAGAUGUGCACAUUAAUCUAAAAGUACCAAAAACUAAUAAGUAUCUUGAGCAAGGAAUGCGGAACCGUCCAUAAUCGCCCGGUUCAAAGCGUACCAAGCCAUGCCGGCAGCAGACCAGGACGGUUCCGGAGGCAGACCAGGACGGUUCCGGAUGCAAACCAGGACGGUUCCAGCAUUCAAAAUGGUGAACCAGCAGGUGGGAGGAGAGGAAGAAGGAAAGAGAGGAAAAGAGGCGAGAGGAAGAGGGAGAGGGAGGGCCUCCAGAAGCCUCCGGAGGGCGCUAGAGGGGCGCCAAAGGGCUAGAGUAGGGGCUUCGCCCUUCGGACCCCUAUGAUGUUCGAAUUAGAGGUCCGUUGGGGCUCUUUUUUUUGUUUUGAAAAUUUUUAGUGAAGUCGACAAGAGGUUUUCCGACUUCACUUAAAAUUUGAGCCCCUUUUUUGGAAAUUUAAAGUAAAGUCAACAAACCUCUUGCCGACUUCACUUAAAAUUUUCAAAAUAAAAAAGGAGCCCUGACAGACCCCUGUUUCGAACGAAACAGAGGGUCCGGAGGGCGGAGCCCCUGCUCCGGCCCUUCGCCACCCUACGAAGGCCUUCGGCGACCCCCCCCCUCUUUUUCCCUCUCUCCCAUUCUCUCUCCCGCUCCCUCACCCUGUUGUGUCGGUACAAGCUCGACACGGUUGGCCCGGCACAGAACGACAUAGGGGCAUACCGAACCGUGCCACCGGCCGACCAAUACAGGCUCCAGUAACAGCAUGGCAGACCUUGAUCUAAAAAAAAA